UUGGUGCAGGUGGGGAGGUUCAGUGAAGUGUCUCUGAUGGUUCCUGGCAGGCAAGGACUCAAACUCUGACCACAGAGGCCCAGGUCAGGGUACUGCAGCUUUGAGGAGUAACUGCCCAGUGGAUCAGGGCUUUUCUAGUGCCAUGGAGAGAACACUGAACAAUUCUCAGCGUCUCCUGAAGAAAAUCAGGCCUCCUCACUACAACCGUCCCAAGAAUACAUGGCACCCAUCACCCUCCCUACUCUGCCUAGAGGGUCUAAAGAGUUAGAACUGCCCCAAGGAGGUUCACCAGAAGCUACAGGAUUUUCACCUGGAGUGUGGGCAACAGCUCCAGCAAGGCCCAAAAGUCUAGGGUGCGCGUGGGAGUCGGGGGUGCUAAAGUCGCCUGAACCCAGCGGGAAGGAAGAUCCGGAGCAGCAUCCAGGAUCCGGAGCUGGAGCCCCCAGGAGAGGAGUCGAGACUCGAACCCCCAGCUCGGUGCCCACGUCUGCGCCAAACGGCUCUUGAGCAAUCCGGCAGGGAAAGGAAAGAGGUGAGGACGGCGUCCACGAUGCAGGUCUGCAGGUCGGCAGGGUCCGUGGCUGCGCCGCCGCGUGGUCGGUUCUCCUGUGC
rnacentral:lncRNA from 1 species